GGACCAAGCUGCAAUUAUAUGCGCCAAUUGUCAGUUUGGUUACUGCUCGUUAACUUAUUUGAUUAUGGGCUAAUUUUGACAGUUAAAGAAAAUUGGGGGACCAAACAAAGGUUGUCUGCGGGCUUGUGUUAAAGUCAAAAUUAUAUUAAAAACCAAAAUCAAGUAGGUAGUAAUUUCUAAAAGUUAAUAAAGAUUAAAAAAUAUUUAAUAAUUUGGAUUUAAGUUUUUAGGAAUACAAUCCGUUUUCAAAGCGAUCCAAGCUGAACUUGGCCACAACUCGCUUAUCGACUGGGGACAAGGAUCAGAAACAGGACGAGUACCAAAACCAAAACCAGGACCAGAACGAAGACGAUUUGAUGAAGUGCACGCCAUGUGCACAAAUGCACACAUGUGGCUCAUUGACAGACUGGGAAAAGGAUACAUAGAUGGAUGAGUGGGGCUCUGGACUGGGAAAAUGGUCAGGGCUCCAACGAAAACUAUGCAAAUAAGGAAGGAUACGUCUGACAAGUCGGGAGUCGGGAGUCGACGUCUCAGUCCGCUCGGCUCAGGUUUCCCUUCAUUUAUCUUGGCUUAUUAAAUUGAAUAUAUGGCUGAAAAUAUACACACAGUCGGGUA